CUUACCUUUGUGGCCUUUCUAAACACCCAAAAAAGCCACAAGUAUCUUAGACUAAAAAAAAAACCAUUUAUAAGAUAGUUAAUAGGUGAAACAUUAUAAGAACACACAUGAUUAGAAUCAUCCGACUAUUCAGAAUUCAGUCUAACCUUUUUUUAUUUUUUUUUAAAUUUUUUUAAAAAUAAGCAAAAAUAAGUUGACGAGAAUAGUUAAACUUAUAAUAGAAUUCAAAUCAUUCAUUUACUAUUGCUAACAAGAGUAACACCCUUGUGUAGUUGUGUAGAUUUGUAGUUAUGUUCUAGAUAUUCUAGUCCAAGUCAACUAGCCGCCUACAAUUACAAUUUCCUCCUUCAGUCACCAGUCAAAUUUCUUACACUACCCGAAAACAAAAGAAAAUUAAAAGAUAAAAAAUAAAAAUAAAAUCCAAAACAAAUCCUUUUUAGGUUCCAAUUUUUUUACGCGUUCUUUCCAUCCUACUCUUAACUUUCCUCUCCUAAAAAGAAUCGGAAGUUCCACAUUAAAUUUCCUGCUCAAAAACUUGUAUAUAUAUACACCUUCACAUCACUUAUUUGCCUCAUCUAUUUCAACAUUAUUCAACAUUCUUUGUAUUCACCAAAACAAAGAAUUUUUAUUCCCUUACAAAUUCAUAAAAAAAACAAUAUGAAUUCCAACGCUCCAUUGAUGAGAUUUUAUGCAUUACCCAUAAUUGGAAUUUUAAUUAUGGCAAUUCUUAAGGUUGCUCAAGGUCAGAUGAUGGUUCCUUCUCCUGCUCCUCUUCCUCCUUCUAAUGAUGGCGCAGCAAUUGAUCAAGGGAUUGCUUACUUUCUAUUACUGCUGGCGCUAGCUGUUACUUAUCUUUUUCAUUAAAUUUUAAUGCUUUGGAAUUUACUUUUUCUCUAUUUUUUGUUUAAUUUGUUCUAUGUGAUGUGAACAAUUUUAGGUAAUAGAUUAAAUCAAUUCUUUAGCUAUUUUUCUCCCAGGAUAUAAUUAAUAUUCAAUGGAGAGGAAUUGCUGUAUUCUUUCAGGUUUCUUAUAGUAGUAAAUAAAUAAAAGUUUUGUUUUUGGCAAAA